rnacentral:rRNA from 1 species
UGGGGAAUCUUGCACAAUGGGCGAAAGCCUGAUGCAGCAACGCCGCGUGCGGGAAGAAGGCCUUAGGGUUGUAAACCGCUUUCAGCAGGGAAGAAAAUGACGGUACCUGUAGAAGAAGGUGCGGCCAACUACGUGCCAGCAGCCGCGGUGACACGUAGGCACCAAGCGUUGUCCGGAUUUAUUGGGCGUAAAGAGCUCGUAGGCGGUUCGGUAAGUCGGGUGUGAAAACUCUGGGCUCAACCCAGAGCCGCCACCCGAUACUGCUGUGACUCGAGUGCGGUAGGGGAGCGGGGAAUUCCUGGUGUAGCGGUGAAAUGCGCAGAUAUCAGGAGGAACACCAGUGGCGAAGGCGCCGCUCUGGGCCGUGACUGACGCUGAGGAGCGAAAGCGUGGGUAGCAAACA